rnacentral:rRNA from 1 species
UACGUAGGGUGCAAGCGUUAUCCGGAAUUAUUGGGCGUAAAGAGCUCGUAGGCGGUUUGUCGCGUCUGCUGUGAAAACUGGAGGCUCAACCUCCAGCCUGCAGUGGGUACGGGCAAACUAGAGUGCGGUAGGGGAGAUUGGAAUUCCUGGUGUAGCGGUGGAAAUGCGCAGAUAUCAGGAGGAACACCGAUGGCGAAGGCAGGUCUCUGGGCAUUAACUGACGCUGAGGAGCGAAAGCAUGGGGAGCGAACAGG